CAGUCGUACCGGCGGAUAAUCAGCCUUUCGGGUGCGAUUCUGUGGGGCGUGAGGAGCUUAACACCUUCAUGCCUGCAUAUUCGUGCUCUUGGGUGUACUUGCUCGUGUGGUUGGUUAACAUCAAUUUCGACGCCAUAAAAUGGCUGGAGGAAUGUAGCUUCGAUCUCGUAUGAAGUGUUAUAGCCUUCGGUAGAUGUGGUGAUCGAGAUUGGGGAUUGCAACGGAUACCCUUCGGGGCUACCUGUCUGGUCUCCUGAUCGUUGCUCUGGUGCCGAAAGCGUGCUUACGGUCAUCGAAAGUGAUUUUCAAAAGGUUAGAACGGGUUAGA
rnacentral:rRNA from 1 species